UACGUAGGGCGCAAGCGUUGUCCGGAAUUAUUGGGCGUAAAGAGCUCGUAGGCGGCCUGUCGCGUCUGCUGUGAAAUCCCGGGGCUCAACCCCGGGCCUGCAGUGGAUACGGGCUGGCUGGAGGCAGGCAGGGGAGAACGGAAUUCCUGGUGUAGCGGUGAAAUGCGCAGAUAUCAGGAGGAACACCGGUGGCGAAGGCGGUUCUCUGGGCCUGUUCUGACGCUGAGGAGCGAAAGCGUGGGGAUCAAACAGG
rnacentral:rRNA from 1 species